rnacentral:rRNA from 1 species
CUACGGGGUGCAGCAGUGGGGAAUAUUGGACAAUGGGCGAAAGCCUGAUCCAGCCAUGCCGCGUGUGUGAAGAAGGCCUUCGGGUUGUAAAGCACUUUCAGUGGGGAAGAAAGCCUUGGGGCUAAUACCCUCGAGGAAGGACAUCACCCACAGAAGAAGCACCGGCUAACUCCGUGCCAGCAGCCGCGGUAAUACGGAGGGUGCGAGCGUUAAUCGGAAUUACUGGGCGUAAAGCGCGCGUAGGCGGUCUGAUAAGCCGGUUGUGAAAGCCCCGGGCUCAACCUGGGAACGGCAUCCGGAACUGUCAGGCUAGAGUGCAGGAGAGGAAGGUAGAAUUCCCGGUGUAGCGGUGAAAUGCGUAGAGAUCGGGAGGAAUACCAGUGGCGAAGGCGGCCUUCUGGACUGACACUGACGCUGAGGUGCGAAAGCGUGGGUAGCAAACAGGAUUAGAUACCCUAGUAGUC